rnacentral:rRNA from 1 species
GAUGAACGCUGGCGGCGUGCCUAAUACAUGCAAGUCGAGCGAACAGACGAGGAGCUUGCUCCUCUGACGUUAGCGGCGGACGGGUGAGUAACACGUGGAUAACCUACCUAUAAGACUGGGAUAACUUCGGGAAACCGGAGCUAAUACCGGAUAAUAUAUUGAACCGCAUGGUUCAAUAGUGAAAGACGGUUUUGCUGUCACUUAUAGAUGGAUCCGCGCCGCAUUAGCUAGUUGGUAAGGUAACGGCUUACCAAGGCAACGAUGCGUAGCCGACCUGAGAGGGUGAUCGGCCACACUGGAGCUGAGACACGGUCCAGACUCCUACGGGAGGCAGCAGUAGGGAAUCUUCCGCAAUGGGCGAAAGCCUGACGGAGCAACGCCGCGUGAGUGAUGAAGGUCUUCGGAUCGUAAAACUCUGUUAUUAGGGAAGAACAAAUGUGUAAGUAACUAUGCACGUCUUGACGGUACCUAAUCAGAAAGCCACGGCUAACUACGUGCCAGCAGCCGCAGUAA